rnacentral:ncRNA from 1 species
CAGGAAUCCGGUGGAAAUCCGGAACGGUCGCGCCACUGUAAGCGGAAGCCGGAACUCGACGGCCCCGUAAGUCAGGAGACUG